ACGAGUUCCUCCCUCCUCUCCGAGCUUCCCCGCUGUCGACGCUGACCCCGACGCCGAGCUCCUUCCCCGUGCUUCUCCCUCGUUGAAGACCGAGCUCCUCCUUCGACGCCGACGCUGAGCUCCUCCCUCGUCGAUGCAUUUGAGCAAAUAUUCAGAGGCCGAGCUCCUCCCCCGUCUACGCCGGACUCUCUCUUCGAAUUAUUGAUGGCGAUCUCUCCAACACCCAGCCUCGACAAUCUCUUCGAAAAUCAAAGUGUUUCACUCCAAAGAACCAAUCUUUCUGAAAAUUUUUCUGAGGUAAGCCAUCGGUCUUAAAACGUCGGAUUAUUGCUAAUUCUGUGAUUAUUAGCUGUGAUUGAAUUUUCUGAAUAAUUAUCAUGUUCUUUGGAAUUAUUAGCUGUGAUUGAAUUUAAUUCUUUUGGUUGAGGAUAAAAUUUGAAGAAGAUUAUUUAAUGCAUGACAUGAAUAUCACUAGUAUAUUGAUUAUUGCUACCUCAUUGCCAAUGUUUCACGGCUACGAGAACACCUGGUUGUAACUUUGGAGCAUGUCAGAGCAUUUUUGGAGCCUGUUGCGUGUUCGAACAACUCCUUGGAUGACGAGUCAACCAGCUGAAGUUUCCCCCAGGUUGUUGGAGCACAGGUUGCUGGAGCAUAAUGUUAUUUAAGCAUUUAAGUAUCUUGGAUCUCAGUCUACAUGUAUCGACAAUAACUUUGGUUGUAACUUUUUUUUGUUUUGAAACAUGAAAAUGACUCUAAUUUGUGAGAACACCUGAUUGUAACUUUGGAUGAUGUAACCUGGUGUUAGAAAUCUCUGCUAGUUUCUUCUAAAUGUGUUUAUGGUGAAAUUGUUUAAUGUGUGUAUUCA